UGAGGAAUAUUGGUCAAUGGGCGAAAGCCUGAACCAGCAACGCCGCGUGAGGGAUGAAGGCCUUCGGGUCGUAAACCUCUUUUCUGGGAGAAGAGACAAGGACGGUAUCCCAGGAAUAAGUCUCGGCUAACUACGUGCCAGCAGCCGCGGUAAAACGUAGGAGGCAAGCGUUAUCCGGAUUUACUGGGCGUAAAGCGCACGCAGGCGGCUGCGUAAGUCGGACGUGAAAGCUCCUGGCUCAACUGGGAGAGGUCGUUCGAAACUGCGCGGCUUGAGGUUGGAAGAGGAGAGCGGAAUUCCCGGUGUAGUGGUGGAAUGCGUAGAUAUCGGGAGGAACACCAGUGGCGAAAGCGGCUCUCUGGUCCACACCUGACGCUCAGGUGCGAAAGCGUGGGUAGCGAACGGG
rnacentral:rRNA from 2 species